GUAAAACCGGUGAUCAGAGAAAGUAAGCACUGAAAGCAGCAUACAGAGAGCCGCUCAAGCUGAGAAUGCGGUUGCAAAGCUGGUGUCUGAAUGGGUCUGUGAGGUGUCUGGCUCAAAUCUUUUUUAAAGAGAGUAAGUCAGGCCGGUUUCCUCCGUUAUCAAAGGAUAGGAUAUUAAAAAGUAUCUGAAAUAUUUUGAGUGUAUAGUAAAAUUGAUAUUUAAUUUUACUAUAAAGUAGGGUGGCACCGCGGGAAUUCAACCUCUCGUCUCUACA
rnacentral:ncRNA from 1 species